UGAUGUAGGUGCCAGUAAAGGCUUAGUGAAGGCUUUACAAGUUGGGGUGCUAGAUGCAUGUGGAAACUUUCCACAGAGUUUGCAGGUUGGAUCUGUUGUUGGAACAAGCCAGAGAAGAUGAUGUUGGGAGUGCUCACUCUCCUGUUAGAGCAAACAGAAGUUUCACAACCUCCUAGCAGGGGGAGACUUUCCUGGAGUUGUCACUGAAGUAAGCCAGGGAGGAAGGCAGGGAGUGUCUGCUUUCCCUUUUAUACAUAGAGAGGUACCCCUUGCUGGUCAAGAAGGUGCAGGGGAUGCUAUCGCUCCCAUUCUUGCUGGCAGAAGUCUCCAACCUCUUUCCCUGGAGAGCUAUAGCAAGUUAAGGAAGGUGACAUAGGGAGUGCCAUGCUUCCCG
rnacentral:lncRNA from 10 species